UAGGGUUCGAUUCCGGAGAGGGAGCCUGAGAAAUGGCUACCACAUCCAAGGAUGGCAGCAGGCGCGCAAAUUACCCACUCCCAGCUUGGGGAGGUAGUGACGAAAAAUAACAAUGCGGGACUCUAAGAGGCCCCGUAAUUGGAAUGAGUACACCUUAAAUCGUUUAACGAGUAUCAAUUGGAGGGCAAGUCUGGUGCCAGCAGCCGCGGUAAUUCCAGCUCCAAUAGCGUAUAUUAAAGCUGCUGCAGUUAAAAAGCUCGUAGUUGGAUCUGGGGCUUGAGGUCGCUGUCUAUCGUUUCGGCGAUGACGGUGAUGCUCAGCUCUGCUUGCCGGUGACUGUAGCGGUGUUCUUCACUGAGCGCUGUAGCAGCACGGCACGUUUACUUUGAAAAAAUUAGAGUGCUCAAAGCGUGCUUGUCGCUUGAAUAAUGUUGCAUGGAAUAAUGGAAUAGGACCUCGGUUCUAUUUUGUUGGUUUUCGGAGCUUGAGGUAAUGAUUAAGAGGGACGAACGGGGGCAUUCGUAUUGCGGUGUUAGAGGUGAAAUUCUUGGAUCGCCGCAAGACGGACUACUGCGAAAGCAUUUGCCAAGAACGCUUUCAUUAAUUAAGAACGAAAGUCAGAGGUUCGAAGACGAUCAGACACCGUCCUAGUUCUGACCAUAAACGAUGCCGACCAGCGAUCCGUAGUGGUUGCUUUAUGGACCCUACGGGCAGCCUCCGGGAAACCAAAGUAUUUGGGUUCCGGGGGAAGUAUGGUUGCAAAGCUGAAACUUAAAGGAAUUGACGGAAGGGCACACCAGGAGUGGAGCCUGCGGCUUAAUUUGACCCAACACGGGAAAACUCACCCGGUCCGGACACCGUAAGGAUUGACAGACUGAUAGCUCUUUCUUGAUUCGGUGGAUGGUGGUGCAUGGCCGUUCUUAGUUGGUGGAGUGAUUUGUCUGGUUAAUUCCGAUAACGAACGAGACUCUAGCCUGCUAAGUAGUGUUGCUAUUGUUAUAUGGUUGACACUUCUUAGAGGGACAAGUGGCAUUUAGCCACGCGAAAUUGAGCAAUAACAGGUCUGUGAUGCCCUUAGAUGUCCGGGGCCGCACGCGCGCUACACUGGAGAAGUCAGCGUGUGUUAUCCAAGUCCGAAAGGACUGGGUAAUCUGUUGAACCUUCUUCGUGCUUGGGACUGUGGCUUGGAACUAUUCCACAUGAACGAGGAAUUCCUAGUAAUUGCAAGUCAUAAGCUUGCGUUGAUUACGUCCCUGCCCUUUGUACACACCGCCCGUCGCUACUACCGAUUGAAUGGUUUAGCAAGGUCCUCGGAUCGUGGCCGUAGGGGCACGCAAGUGUUUCUGCGGUUUGCGAGAAGACGACCAAACUUGAUCAUUUAGAGGAAGUAAAAGUCGUAACAAGGUU
rnacentral:rRNA from 1 species